rnacentral:rRNA from 1 species
CGGGACGGGUGAGUAACGCGUGGAUAACCUGCCGUAUGCAGGGGGAUACCAACUGGAAACAGUUGCUAAUACCGCAUAAGCGCACAGCACCGCAUGGUGCAGUGUGAAAAGAUUUAUCGGCAUACGAUGGAUCCGCGUCCGAUUAGCCAGUUGGCGGGGUAGAAGCCCACCAAAGCGACGAUCGGUAGCCGGCCUGAGAGGGCGGACGGCCACAUUGGGACUGAGACACGGCCCAAACUCCUACGGGAGGCAGCAG